UCAAUCUUUCCAGCUCAACCCUAGUUUUGACAUGAGAGAGAUGGACCGGAGGAUUGGAUUGGCUGGGGUCGCCAAGGAAAGAUAGUGGAGCGGUAGCGCCACACGUGGGGACAAGCCCCUGGCUGGAAGUCGCUGGGAUCCCGCGAUAAGCACCCUUGAACUUUUAUCAGGCAAUUGCCAGGGCUUGGCUUCCCUUAAGACUAAACCCUGCUCGCCCCCUGCCCCCUGCCCCUUUGCACCGCCGGUCAAAGAUGAAAGGGCUGCUGACCAGAUCCAGAAAGCAAUUCUCUUUUUCGCAACAGGAUGUCAGCCGAGGCUGUGUUUCAGAUGGCGACGCAGAGCUGGGCUCCCCUCGGAAAAGCGUUUGUAAGCAUUGACACUGACUGACAGCUGACGUUACAUUUUCCUCCAAGCCAGGUCUUGGCUUUUGACAUGGCAAGAGACGCUUUGCAGCCUGAGAAUAUAUAUAUAUAUAAGGCCCAAUGCUUCCAGUCCGGGACCCA